UCUCACUUUCCUUCCAUCUCCUGUCAUUAUAGGUAUCUUGCCCUGUGUUUCCUUCUGAUUGAUUUCUGCUUGCCCACUCUCUAUGAUGAGUUCCUGACCUUUUCUGUGAAUUGCUUAAGAAGUCUAUUAUCCUUUCUAAAGGAGAAUAUUACAGAAUAAUCCAGGUAAAAUCAAUGCCACUGUUAUAAUAAUUGAAACAAAUACAGCUAGACUGAAUGGACUGCAAGAGUGAGAACAUCCUCAUCUGUCACUAAAAUUAGACUCUGUAGUUUUACGACAGGAGAGACUUUACAAAAAGGCAAAAUCUCCUUCAGGAGUCGAACCAGUCCAAAGAAGUUGGUAUCCAUCACAGUUUUCAUCUCAUCUAUGGUCUGACAUUCAAUAGGUCCAAUGAGCCCCAUUCCAGCAUUGCUAACUGCACAAAAUGG